rnacentral:rRNA from 1 species
GAUGAACGCUGGCGGCGUGCCUAAUACAUGCAAGUAGAACGCUGAAGGAGGAGCUUGCUCUUCUGGAUGAGUUGCGAACGGGUGAGUAACGCGUAGGUAACCUGCCUGGUAGCGGGAGAUAACUAUUGGAAACGAUAGCUAAUACCGCAUGACAACAGUUAUUGCAUGAUAACUGUUUAAAAGGGGCAACUGCUCCACUACCAGAUGGACCUGCGUUGUAUUAGCUAGUUGGUGAGGUAACGGCUCACCAAGGCGACGAUACAUAGCCGACCUGAGAGGGUGAUCGGCCACACUGGGACUGAGACACGGCCCAGACUCCUACGGGAGGCAGCAGUAGGGAAUCUUCGGCAAUGGACGGAAGUCUGACCGAGCAACGCCGCGUGAGUGAAGAAGGUUUUCGGAUCGUAAAGCUCUGUUGUAAGAGAAGAACGAGUGUGAGAGUGGAAAGUUCACACUGUGACGGUAUCUUACCAGAAAGGGACGGCUAACUACGUG